AUGGGUUUAAAAAUAAAUUUCGGUUUACAAAACAAAACCAAAAUUAAACACUAAAGUCAAACCAACACAAUUUCCCCAACUUGGUUUACACUAAACCAAAUCUUAAAGAAAAACCUAAACCUAAAAAAAAAUAAGACUCCAGCCGCCAUAGCUUCCUCUUCUUCUUCCACCGUCAAGGUCUUCAACCACUAUCCCGUCAAGGUCUUCUUCCACCACCGUGAAGGUCUUCAGCCAUUGUCCCAUCAACGAAGAAUGGAGGUUAAUCUACAAAAUCGGAACAAAACAAGUCAGAUUCACCAAAAUAAAGCAGAUUAGAGAGAGAGAGAGAGAGAGAGAGAGAGAGAGAGAGAGAGAGAGAGAGAGAGAGAGAGAGAGAGAGAGAGAAAAUGACUGUGGUAGUGGUGAAGAGUGCGACGGAAUCGAUGGGAGUAGUGGUGGUGACGAGUGCGUCGGUGCUGGUGCUGGUGAGAACGGGGACGAUCUAGAGAUCGGUGACCAUGAGGGAGCAUUCGAGACCGACCGUCACGUCUUCUCCUUUCACUGAAUCUUCGAGAUCUAUCUCCUCUCUCUGUUCCACCACUUCGCUUGGUCUCCGUCGCACAAUCAGAAGGCGGCCAGCUUGAUUGAUGAAUCUGUGUUGUGUGUGUGAGAAAUGAACAAUUGAAGAAGAAAGCAAAAGUCGCGUAAGAUUAAGAGAAACAAAUAGACCAAAAAUCAAUCUGGUCCACUGAUUAAAAUAUAAUCAAUGGUUAAAAUUAGUGA
rnacentral:lncRNA from 1 species